CCGGUCCUCCUCCUCCUCCUCCUCACCGCCACCUCCCGGGGGAGGAGGAGGGAGGGACGGAGGGAGCCCCGAGGACCGUCCGUGUCACGAGUCAUGUGCCAGCCCCUCUGACGUCAAUGGCAGCGGGAGCUGAAGCAGGAGCGCGAGCAAGAGCCGGAGGCGGCAGGGGCAGCUGUGGCGGCAGCAGGGACGGCUGCAGCCGCAACAGCAGCCCCAGUCUUGGAAUCAACGGAGGCCAGGAAGAGGCAAGGCCGCCCGCGAACCCGGCUUGCCCGAGAUGCGGGCAGCAGCCGCGGACCGGGGAGGCUUAGGAGGCAGGGACAGGGCAGGACUGGACAAAGGAUUGAGAUGAAAGGACGAGACCCGGAGGAGAGCAGGGAAACCUGGCUGCAGAGCCGCGAUUGAGCGGGGAAGUGCCGAUUGGGCUCUGCGCCCUCCGGCUCCGGGAGGUUGGAGCUCGGAGCUCGGUGGAAGGAGGCGGAGGGGCGGGCUUCCUGUUGCCGGCUCCUGCUUGCCUGCCGCAGGAGAAGGGGAAGGGGGCUGGCUGGGCUCUGCGCCCCUGAUUGAAAAGCCGCCGCCGCAGUGAUGGGAAAUGUCAGGCUGGAAGCUGGAUCGAUACAGGAGGAAAUGGCAAACAAUACCUGGCAAAGGUGGAGACCUGAGAUGUGGCUACAAUAGAGAAGAACAGGAAGGGAAAAGUGGAGCCAAUUGUCUAAGCUGUGACAGCUAGGGACAGCUAAUUUGGGUAAUUAGGGUCAUAAAAAGAUCUUUCCUCCGACAUAUCCAGCUUAUUACUUCAACAUUCCACCUUAUUUUGCUGUAAAGACAACCAACGUCCCUCAACAUUUCUAAUGUCUAGAACCUCACCAAAAAAACCCUAAGGGAGAUAACGUGUGUAUUAGCCAGCUUUUUCUGUCCUUUCUGCAGUUUAAUGCCCAGGGUCACGUUAAAAAGCACUUCUAUAGAGACAUCAAUGUGGGUCUUAGGGUUUUGGUUUAAAUGAUAUAUAUGGUCCCUCUUGUCUCAAGUCAUAAGAUCUUAAGUACAGAUGGGUGAAUUUUGUUGGUGUAAAUAUAGAAUCCACAAACUUACUCUUCCUGAUUCUGAGCCAAAUUCUGUGAAAUUCAAUUCAAUAAGCAUUUAUUAAGUGCUUUCUGUGUGUUAGACAUUGACAGUUCAAAGACAUUGUGUUAUAUUUUGUCCUUGGCCUAGACUUGCAUUAAAAAAAAAAAAAAGUUAUACUCGUUUUAUGUCUCCUCACUGAAUUCUCCUUUGUGACAAAGAAAAACAAGCAAAGGCACUUGAUACAGUGACCACAUUUGACAAUGUAUGAUAUUCUGUCCUAUUAGUCCCCCACCUCUGCUUUGCUGGGGAAGGUAUGUUUCAUUAUUUGUUCUCUAAGACCUUUGUUAUUGUUUUUCAGUAACCUACUCAGUGUGUCUUCAUUUUAGUAAUCUUUUUAAUUUAUAAUGUUCCUAGCCUCAAGAAUCUUAUUUUCUCCUGAAGAAUAUAACAUUUAAGGAAGGCUAAGCUAAACCCAUAACCAAAAAGACCCAGUGUAUGAGCCAUUCACCUAUAGAAUGGAAGUAGAGUGAAGUGAAAAUGGAUCAUUGUGUCAAAUUCUAAAUAAACUCACAUAUGAGGCCAUCUGAGGAAUAGAUUGGGACUCAAGAAUUCUCUGGAGAAGAUAGGUAAUUAGUUUGGAAAACAGAAUGCUUGGCAUUCCAACUUGAAAUUCAGAACACCAUCUCCAGAACAUCCUGGAGAAAAUAGCCAAGCAAAAGUCCAGAGUUCCCCAUCUCAGAAUCAAAAUAAAAAGAUGAACCUCAAUAAUUGUUUCCAAAACCCUUAAAUCUUUUGAGGGAUGUUGUUCAUAAAGUAUUCCUAAAAAUGUAUAAAGUGUUAGAGCUGGAAGAUUACAGAAUUCAAAACCAGAGGAACUGGAAUCAACUUCUAGCUUUGCCAUUUACUACCUCUAUAACUUUGAUCAAGUCAGUUAGCUUUCCUGGGUCACAGUUUUCUUACCUACAAAAUAAAGCAUUUGGGCAAGAUGA